rnacentral:rRNA from 1 species
GAUGAACGCUGGCGGCGUGCCUAAUACAUGCAAGUCGAGCGAACAGACGAGGAGCUUGCUCCUCUGACGUUAGCGGCGGACGGGUGAGUAACACGUGGAUAACCUACCUAUAAGACUGGGAUAACUUCGGGAAACCGGAGCUAAUACCGGAUAAUAUAUUGAACCGCAUGGUUCAAUAGUGAAAGACGGUUUUGCUGUCACUUAUAGAUGGAUCCGCGCCGCAUUAGCUAGUUGGUAAGGUAACGGCUUACCAAGGCGACGAUGCGUAGCCGACCUGUGAGGGUGAUCGGCCACACUGGAACUGAGACACGGUCCAGACUCCUACGGGAGGCAGCAGUAGGGAAUCUUCCGCAAUGGGCGAAAGCCUGACGGAGCAACGCCGCGUGAGUGAUGAAGGUCUUCGGAUCGUAAAACUCUGUUAUGAGGGAAGAACAAAUGUGUAAGUAACUAUGCACGUCUUGACGGUACCUAAUCAGAAAGCCACGGCUAACUACGUG